UUAGUGCAUAACAUUUGUACCAGAAAUAUUUUUGAUUUGUUUUCAUUUUCGCGUCAGCAUAAUUUUUUGCUGCAUAAUUUAAUAUAAAAUAAUAUUCAUACAUAAUAUAAUAAUAUUUUGCAUAAUAUUUUGCUGCACAUAAUAACAUAUAUCCAAAGCGCUGUCUCACAGAGAAAACGCUACGUGACCAAAAAACCUUCUGCCUCGCUGGACCAUAAUGUACCUUGCGUUAGCGGUAACUCUGGUGCUGGAUGUAAUAUUUGCGAAUCCCAGGUUUUGCUUUAGCGUCAUUGCCCCUAAGAGAAUACCCGAAACCUGUGGUGGAGAAAUUCAUCUGGCGCCUGAUUCACAAUGGUUACUGCUAACACCGCGAUAUCUGGCAUAUUUCGAUCCCAUUGUACGCUGUGAGUGGAGAUUAAACGCUCCGGAUGGAUAUGAAUUUCUGGCAAGUGAUGAUCAUAUUAAUAAAUAAUAAUCACCGGUUUCUUGUAGGUACGAUUUCUGUUCUGUUAUACCGUACUACGACUUCGCUCGUAGAUUGGUUAAACCUACUACUGUUAGUGUACGGGUUCAGUACAUUGAUCACCAGCCUCUCAUGCGGUGUAUUACAUGUUCUGUUAUCCGAUACAGUGUGUUGCAAGUUUCCAACUUACACCUUUAAUUUUCAUAAUGCAUUUUAAGUGAUAAUGAAAAAACUGAAAGUCCGACGUAAGGUAAACAUAAGCGAUAUUCCGAGGUUUCUGUGAAGUUUGUUCGACUGGUGAUCAUGUUGGUUAUUACUUGUCAUACAAGUAAUGGUAAUAAGAAUGGUGAUUAUCAUAGCAUAUGCAGUACUGUCUUGGCAAAGAGAAAAAAGAUUAUAGGAUAUAGGUAGCACUACCCAUGACAAAUGGCGCUCCUGGUUAGAACAAUGUACCAACCUGGCGGUGGCUGCGGUUCUGCCCCAGCCGAAUUUGGGUCGCCGUUGCCGACAGGGUUUCCGUCGGUUCCUGACGUAAAGCAGUGGCAUUCGGCCGCAUAUGCUGGUUAUUCUGCUUGUGGAUGGACACAGGAAGCAACCAACCAUUAUCCCGAUGCCGUUUCCCUGGAGUCAAUGGCCUCUGUGGUCCCCAAACAGGGCUGUGCGAAUCGGCCCAUUCCACACCAUAUCCCAGACUAUUCUAAG